rnacentral:lncRNA from 1 species
AUGAGACAGACUGUACUAGAGUCUUUGCUGCAGAGUCGGCCACGGCACUCUCCUCCGCUCUCACGACUGCAGACAGCUCUCUUCUUUGCCGGCUCGGGCACGCCAGCGCUCACCGCUGCUGGCUUGGGCACGCUCACCGCUGCUGGCUCGGGCACGCCAGCGCUCUCCGCUGCUGGCUCGGGCACGCUCACCGCUGCUGGCUCGGGCACGCCAGCGCUCACCGCUGCUGGCACGGGCACGCCAGCUCUCUCCGCUGCUGGCACGGGCACGCCAGCGCUCUCCGCUGCUGGCACGGGCACGCCAGCGCUCUCCGCUGCUGGCACGGGCACGCCAGCGCUCUCCGCUGCUGGCACGGGCACGCUCACCGCUGCUGGCACGGGCACGCUCACCGCUGCUGGCUCGGGCACGCUCACCGCUGCUGGCUCGGGCACGCUCACCGCUGCUGGCUCGGGCACGCUCACCGCUGCAGGAGGCGACAGAGUCGCAGGACCGGGAGACCCCUUCUUCCUCCUCUUCCUUCUAGGCCGCGGUGCAGAGGUCACCGCUGGGACAGAGACGGGUUGGGGAAGUUCGGUCUCGGGCAGGGCAGACUCUGACGCCGACGAUUCCGAGGCUGACUCCCACGAAAACCGUCUUCCUCGCUUGUUGGGGAGACUGAAGGAAGUGGGGGGUGCCUCAGGAUUCUGGGAGGAACUUGCCUGGUCCCCCAGGGUUGCCACGGCCAGGACACGACCCUCUGGAAUCGUUGGCAGGUGGGUAGGUGGAGGGGACCUCUGUGGCUCUUCCUCUCGACCGCUUCCUCCCCUGGUCCCCCGGAACACCACUAGGCGAGAGCCCUCAAAACCAUCCCGCUUGCUGGCUGAUGACAUCCAGCAUUGCCUCCUGUCUGCUGAGUUCCCUUUUGGUCGGUUCAUUCUGUCAGGGUUUUGGCAAGGGAGGAACUCAAGUGCAGACAGGAACCGGGUUACACACAGGAUUUAUUAAUACAAAAGGGGAAAACAAAACCCACGAGGGGGAAAACAAGGACUAGGGCAGAUACAAAAAUAACUAAACAGGACUGAUUAGACAAGAUAAACAAAGACUCAAAACUAGAGAACACUAACUACAAAUAAACAAUCACGGCUAUACAGGACACAAUAUCUCAAAGGGGUUACCAGGGUAUAAUCACAGGUGAGGAGCAAUCACAAAUCACAAUGAACCGACGCAAGACAGAGCACACUAGGAGAUCUAAAUAGGGGGACAAUUAAGACACGACAGGUGGCACAGAUAGCAAUCACGACACGACUAGGUUAACAAGGGGGGCGGGGCAAGGGAACGAGACAACACAAGCACAUGGCCCAAAGACAAGGCCAUGUGCUUGUACACAAAACAUGGGUUUGUCAUGAUCCUGCCUCAAGACUAGGGAAAAAUCAAGGACACGAGGGCAGAAUCAUGACAAUUAUGUGCCCAGCUACAAUUAUUAUGUUAAUUAACAGUGAGCGGUGGUUUCAGACAUUACAGUGCCACACUCUUACUGACUUUUAUUCUGUCUGAAAGAAUGAAAAGGCGGGGCGAUUCGACCAAUCAGAUGAAAGCAGCAUUUCAUCUCC